rnacentral:lncRNA from 1 species
CUCCUCCCGAACCGCCAGGUCCAUCCCCAGACGGGAAAACCGAGCACCACCUCCCACGCGUCGCGUCCCGAUUGGUCGUCGUGGAGCGUUGAGCACUCCGUGUCCGUACCCAUCGCGCCAAAGCCACCGCUCGGCCAUUCUUGGGUACCUCAGUUCAAAAUUACCAAACUACCCCCUCGUUCGCAUCGCCGACAGUCUCCCGUCUCCGA